AAAAGUCUAGGUUAAAAAAACUGCUCAAGGAGGCAUAAUAGGUGAAUCAAGUGAAUCAAAUGAGAGCAGGUUUCCUGGAAAAAUCAAUGGCCAGCAAAUUGUGGUUCAAGCUUUGGAACCUCUAGACAAAAGCAAGGGAAUUAGCAAUUUGAGCAGAAUAAACUCAAGGUCAGAGCGCAUUGAAGCCUGGCUAUGAAGGAAGAUCAAUUUCUGCAGACGCUGUCUAAUUCUAUGAUUUGUGAAG
rnacentral:lncRNA from 1 species